AGCGAACGCUGGCGGCAGGCUUAACACAUGCAAGUCGAGCGGGCAUCCUUGUGGUGUCCGCGGCAGACGGGUGAGUAACGCGUGGGAACGUGCCCUUCGGUUCGGAAUAACUCAGGGAAACUUGCGCUAAUACCGGAUACGUGCGAGAGCAGAAAGGUUUAUCUGCCGAAGGAUCGGCCCGCGUCUGAUUAGCUAGUUGGUGAGGUUAUGGCUCACCAAGGCGACGAUCAGUAGCUGGUCUGAGAGGAUGAGCAGCCACACUGGGACUGAGACACGGCCCAGACUCCUACGGGAGGAAGCAGUGGGGAAUAUUGGACAAUGGGGGCAACCCUGAUCCAGCCAGGACGGGUGAGUGAUGACGGCAAUAGGGUUGUAAAGCUCUUUUCUCCGGGACGAUAAUGACGGUACCGGAGGAAUAAGCCCCGGCUAACUUCGUG
rnacentral:rRNA from 1 species